rnacentral:miRNA from 1 species
CUGCCCAGCCAUCCGGAUGGUG